GCCCGGGUGGCGGAAUUGGUAGACGCGUUGGUCUCAAACACCAAUGGAGGUAACUUCGUGCCGGUUCGACUCCGGCCCCGGGUACAA
rnacentral:tRNA from 1 species